CAGUCGCCGCGGUAAUACGAAGGGGGCUAGCGUUGUUCGGAUUUACUGGGCGUAAAGCGCACGUAGGCGGAUCGAUCAGUCAGGGGUGAAAUCCCAGAGCUCAACUCUGGAACUGCCUUUGAUACUGUCGAUCUGGAGUAUGGAAGAGGUGAGUGGAAUUCCGAGUGUAGAGGUGAAAUUCGUAGAUAUUCGGAGGAACACCAGUGGCGAAGGCGGCUCACUGGUCCAUUACUGACGCUGAGGUGCGAAAGCGUGGGGAGCAAACAGAAUUAGAUACCCGCGUAGUCCCUGUCUCUUAUAC
rnacentral:rRNA from 1 species